ensembl:lncRNA
AAUUAAACUUGUCUCCAUCCUAUUUCUCCCAUCUCUUCCCCUCUAGGCCAAUUUAAAGGCAAUGCUACCAAAUACUAAUUGAGUGUACGUAAACUUCUGACCCACUGGGAAUGUGAUGAAGGAAGUAAAAGCUGAAAUAUAUCAUUCUCUUAACUAUUAUUCUGACAUUUCACAUUCUUAAAAUAAAAUGGUGAUCCUAGCUGACCGAAAACAGUUUUUUUUAUUACUAGGAUUAAAUGUCAGGAAUUGUGAAACUGAGUUUAAAUAUAUUUGGCUAAGGUGUAUGUAAACUUCUGACUUCAACUGUACAUAUCAUAGAAAUACUUGGAGAUAGCACUACGGGACCAUGGAUUGUGCUGUUGUGAGCUUAUUGGUCAUGCUCCUGGCUGGGGUGUGGCAUAGUGUUUCUCCUUCUGAAGCCACAUUGGUUGAGUGUGGCACUGGGAAGACUUGUACUGUGGCCUUACUCAGCCUUAACCCUGCCACUCUGGUCUGCCCUGGUUCCUCCCUACACCCUUUGAUCAAGUGGACCAUCCAGGGAAUCUUGGACACAGGCUACAGCUCAUCUCCAAUAGUGAUCCAGACCAGUAGAGCCCCCACCAGUCUGCUGAAGGCUGACACCACCAACUGUGAAAGAGUGAAUCUCCCCUAGUGUUACCUUCUGUGGACUUGGAGUACUCCGAAACCAACAGGCAAAGGUUUGGCUUGGGUCUGCAGAGAGCUCCAAGCAGGCAAAGAAGGAAUAUCAAUCUAUGGAGAGCUCUGUAACUAUACUCCAAUAUCCAAUACAGAGCUCUGGUCAGGAUAGAACCAGGGGGUGUACAGGUUUUUCAAUCAUCCCUUAUGGUGGCCAGCCAGACUCGCCCUCAGGCUCCUGCCUCCGCCGCCUUUGAGACACAGGACUUACCUCGCAUCUAAACUCAGCAUGCUCGCCAGUGAACCUCCUGCCUCUUUCUGCCCAUGUGCAACCCUUAACCUCUGACCACAUCAGACCAGCGACCCUCUGGCACAGUUUUCGACUGAUAAUGACCUCCAGUCACGCCUCAGAGGUGGAGAGCAUAACCUUGUCUUCACUGACACCUGGGUCUGGACUCUAUACCUGCCAGGUGCGGGAUGUGACCCUGGCUCAGUUUGAGGUGCAGGAUGUUUAGUGAAGUGCAGAUAUCACACGCAUCCCACCAUGGGCAAUUGCCCAGGGAAAACUUAAGUGAGGCUGGGGGAGGUGUUCACAGUAUGGGGUGCGUGGCAGGGUUGAAAUUGCUGUGGGAAACAGAGAGAGGAAGAGGAUUGGGUUGUGCUAUGCACAGGUCCUCAAUGUGAGCACAGGAGAGGGGAUCCCGGGUGCGGCCCUUGGGUCUGGGGUGGUUCAGAGAUUACUAGAGAAAUUACAAGGUUUCUCCAUUGUCCUGGGCCAAGAGGUCAUCAUAGAAACAUGUUGCCAGGACUGUCCGACCUCUUGUCUGCAUGACUAGGAUGACAUUCCACUCCGCGGAUCCUCCAUCGGUCACUCCUGAAGCCUGUUGACAUCACAGCCUCCUUGGAUACUGUGCUACUGUGUCCCUCUGUCUCUGUGUACAGCCCUGUAUACUGGGAAUGAGAUGCACUGCCUCUAACCCAGCUGGACCUUCUCCAGAAGAACAGCUCCCACUCUCUGGAUCUCUCACGGGAGAAACGGCUACCUCAUCCACCAGGCCUCUCUGUCUGACUCGAGUCUACCGCUGUUUCCAGGGGGGGUGGCUGAGAGGGGGUUACCUCCUGCAGG